rnacentral:rRNA from 1 species
CGGGUGAGUAACACGUGGAUAACCUACCUAUAAGACUGGGAUAACUUCGGGAAACCGGAGCUAAUACCGGAUAAUAUAUUGAACCGCAUGGUUCAAUAGUGAAAGACGGUUUUGCUGUCACUUAUAGAUGGAUCCGCGCCGCAUUAGCUAGUUGGUAAGGUAACGGCUUACCAAGGCAACGAUGCAUAGCCGACCUGAGAGGGUGAUCGGCCACACUGGAACUGAGACACGGUCCAGACUCCUACGGGAGGCAGCAGAG